AUGGCGCCGCACCCCUCAUCGGAGCAGAAGAAGCAACAGCAGCAGCAGAUAGCCAUUGAGAAGGCAGAAGAGGGAACCAUGGCGGGGAAGGUGGGCAUGGAGAGGGUGGCGGUGGAGGUCACCGUGAGGGAGCUGGACGUGGAGCGGGACCUGCCGGCGGUGGAGGAGCUGGAGCGGCGGUGCGAGGUCGGCCUCUCCGGCGACCAGGCCGACGGCGGCAAGAAGAAGAAGAGGAGCAUGUCGCUGUGCGUGGAGCAGAUCGGCGACCCGCUGGCCAGGGUCCGCCACGCGCCGGAGCACGUCAUGCUGGUUGCUGAGUGCGGGCAGGAGAUGGUCGGCGUCAUCAAGGCCUGCAUCAAGAUGGUCAGCCGCGGCAGCAUCGGGUCUUCUUCUUCCUCCGGCUCGGUGGCGAAGCAGCAGCAGCCGGCGGCGGCGUACGUGAAGGUGGCCUUCAUCCUCGGCCUCAGGGUCUCCCCCUCCCACAGGCGGCUGGGGAUCGCGACGGCGCUGGUGAAGGCGGCGGAGGAGUGGAGCCGCAAGCGGGGCGCGGCGCACGCGUCCAUGGCGACGACGCAGUCCAACAAGGCGUCGCUGGCGCUCUUCACCGGCCGGUUCGGGUACAAGCCGUUCCGGCGGCCGGUGCUCCUGGGCCGCCCCGUGCACGCGCGGUGGCUGCCGGUCACGAGCCGCCACCGCGUGCUCCAGCUGCCGCCGACGCUGGCGGCCGCGGCCUACGCGCGGCUCCUCCCGGCGCGGGACACCGAGUUCCUCCCCGCCGACCUGCCGGCGCUCCUCGCCCACAAGCUCACCCUCGGCACCUUCGUGGCCAUCGAGAGCUCCGACGGCCGCACCGCCGGGGCCGGCGCGCCGUCGCCGUCGUUCGCCGUGCUGAGCGUCUGGGACCAGACCCGCUCGCUCCGCCUGCGCGUGGACGGGGCGCCGGCGCUGCUACGGCACUCGCUGGCCGCGGUGCGGGCGCUGGACCGCGCCGCGCCGUGGCUGCGCGUGCCCUCGGUGCCGGACAUCUUCCGCCCCUUCGGCGCCUACCUCAUCUACGGCGUCAGCAUGUCCGGGCCGGAGGGCCCGGCCCUGCUCCGCACGCUCUGCAGCCACGCCCACAACAUGGCCCGCAACAACCCGGCCUGCGGCGUCGUCGCCGCCGACCUCAGCCCCGACGACCCGGCCGCCGCCGCCAUCCCGAGCUGGCGCCGCUUCUCCUGCGACGAGGACGUCUGGUGCAUCAAGAACCUCUCCGACACCAAUGCCGCCUCCUCCUCCUCCGACUGGCCAGCGUCGGCGCCGCCGGGCAGCGUGCUCUUCGUCGACCCCCGCGAGUUCUGA
rnacentral:rRNA from 1 species